rnacentral:misc_RNA from 1 species
GAUGAAGAACGCAGCGAAAUGCGAUAAGUAAUGUGAAUUGCAGAAUUCAGUGAACCAUCGAAUCUUUGAACGCACAUUGCGCCCGCCAGUAUUCUGGCGGGCAUGCCUGUUCGAGCGUCAUUACAACCCUCAGGCCCCCGGGCCUGGCGUUGGGGAUCGGCGGAAGCCCCCUGCGGGCACAACGCCGUCCCCCAAAUACAGUGGCGGUCCCACCGCAGCUUCCAUUGCGUAGUAGCUAACACCUCGCAACUGGAGAGCGGGGCGGCCACGCCGUAAAACACCCAACUUCUGAAUGUUGACCUCGAAUCAGGUAGGAAUACCCGCUGAACUUAAGCAUAUCAAUAAGCGGAGGA